rnacentral:rRNA from 1 species
AACGAACGCUGGCGGCAUGCCUAACACAUGCAAGUCGAACGAGAUCUUCGGGUCUAGUGGCGCACGGGUGCGUAACGCGUGGGAAUCUGCCCUUUGGUUCGGAAUAACAGUUGGAAACGACUGCUAAUACCGGAUGAUGACGAAAGUCCAAAGAUUUAUCGCCAGAGGAUGAGCCCGCGUAGGAUUAGCUAGUUGGUGUGGUACAGGCGCACCAAGGCGACGAUCCUUAGCUGGUCUGAGAGGAUGAUCAGCCACACUGGGACUGAGACACGGCCCAGACUCCUACGGGAGGCAGCAGUGGGGAAUAUUGGACAAUGGGCGAAAGCGUGAUCCAGCAAUGCCGCGUGAGUGAUGAAGGCCGUAGGGUUGUAAAGCUCUUUUACACGGGAUGAUAAUGACAGUACCGGGAGAAUAAGCUCCGGCUAACUCCGUGCCAGCCGCCGCGGUAAAAC